GAUGUGAUGGUUCAAUACUUUUGGACCGCAGCGAUGGCGAGAAGUUUGCACAACCCAACCUGAACUCAGUUAGAGGGUACGAGGUCAUUGACGCCAUAAAGGCUGAUCUCGAGAGCCUCUGCCCUGAGGUGGUGUCUUGCGCUGACAUCGUAGCCCUUGCAGCAGGCUAUGGAGUGCUCUUUGUACGCUCCUAGUAGCCCUUCCAGUCAAGUUUGUUGGAACACUAAGUUUUGCUAGACAGAGUACUAACGGUGCAACACGGCUGUGACGUAGUGACGUGUACUGAUUUUUGUUGUUCAGAGUGGAGGGCCAUAUUGGGAUGUUCUUCUGGGAAGAAAAGACGGUCUGGUGGCCAAUCAGUCUGGAGCUGACAACGGCUUGCCUGCGCCAUUUGAACCGAUAGACUCCAUUAUUCAGAAGUUCAACGCCGUCGGCCUGAACACGACCGAUGUCGUGGUCUUAUCGGGUAAAUAUCAUGAAUCAGUUACAGCUACUUCUACUUCCACGUUCUCCUACAAGUUUCAGAGCUAGUCCUUACACGUUCGUAGCUCACUCAGAAGCAGUUAUUAAGAUUAUUAAUUAUACAUCAAGUUUCACGUGAUCUGUUAAGAUUCUACGGAACUCACAUGCUCUCAACCUGAAAUUGGACAGGAGCCCACACGAUCGGCCGAUCCCGGUGCGUGCUGUUCAGCAAUCGCCUGUCAAACUUCUCGGCGACGAAUUCAGUAGAUCCGACGCUGGAUGCCAGCCUCGCCGACAGCCUUCAGAGCCUCUGUGCAGGCGGCGACGGCAACCAGACCACCGCUCUCGACGUCAGCUCCGGCGACGUGUUCGACAACUACUACUACCAGAACCUCCUGGCCAAUAAGGGCCUGCUGUCCUCCGACCAGGGCCUCUUUUCAAGCCCGCAAGGCACUGCCAACACAAAGGAUCUCGUGCGGACCUACAGCCACGACGAGGAUCAAUUCUUCUGCGAUUUCGGCUGGUCCAUGAUCAAGAUGGGGAACAUCCCUCUCACGGGCUCGGAAGGGGAGAUCCGCAAGAACUGCAGGGUUGUCAACUCAUGAGGAGUGAGUGAUGCAUGC
rnacentral:lncRNA from 1 species